rnacentral:rRNA from 1 species
AGACAGAGAUGUUAAGCGAAACCCAAAAAAGUAAGUCUCAGUUCGGAUUGAAGGCUGAAAUUCGCCUUCAUGAAGCCGGAAUUGCUAGUAAUGGCAGGUCAGCAUACUGCCGUGAAUACGUUCCCGGGCCUUGUACACACCGCCCGUCACACCAUGAGAGUUGGGAAUACCCGAAGCCUGUGAGCUAACAGUAGAGGCAGCAGUCGAAGGUAGAAUCAAUGAUUGGGGUGAAGUCGUAACAAGGUAGC